rnacentral:misc_RNA from 1 species
AGGAUACUUGACUUCUUCUCACACCACCCAGAGAGCCUGCAUAUGUUCACUUUUCUCUUUGACGAUAUUGGUAUUCCACAGGAUUACAGACACAUGGAUGGCUCCGGUGUUAACACCUAUACUUUGAUCAGCAAAGCUGGGAAGGCACAUUAUGUGAAAUUCCAUUGGAAACCAACUUGUGGGGUUAAGAGUUUGUUGGAAGAUGAGGCCAUAAGAGUUGGUGGAUCUAACCACAGUCAUGCUACACAGGACCUCUAUGACUCGAUUGCAGCUGGAAACUACCCUGAGUGGAAGCUUUUCAUUCAGACAAUUGAUCCUGCUGAUGAAGACAAGUUUGACUUUGAUCCACUUGAUGUGACCAAGACGUGGCCUGAAGACAUCUUGCCCUUGCAGCCUGUGGGUCGCUUGGUUUUGAACAGGAAUAUCGAUAACUUCUUUGCUGAGAAUGAGCAACUUGCGUUCUGCCCCUCUAUUGUGGUGCCUGGUGUCUAUUAUUCAGAUGAUAAGUUGCUGCAAACUAGAAUUUUCUCCUACUCUGAUACUCAGAGGUAUCGCCUUGGCCCAAAUUAUCUGCAGCUUCCAGCAAAUGCUCCCAAGUG